rnacentral:tRNA from 1 species
GCCCCCGUAGCUCAGAGGAUAGAGCAGCUGCCUUCUAAGCAGUUGGUCGGGCGUUCGAGUCGCCCCGGGGGCGCCA